CGUACGUAAUAUUUGAAAUGGGGUGUAGAUCUUUGCCUCGAGAAGGGGAGGAGUAAAAAAUCCGAUUUUCAGCUUUACGUAUUUUAUGGACGGCCCCUUAUUGGUUAUUUUAUUUUUCCAGUUGAUUCGUAUAUGAUAGAGAGAAACGGGAAAUUCGAAUGCGCUCUCUGCGGCGCCUCAUUCAAGCACGGGUAUAGUCUCCGGAAACACAUGAAGGCCCACACCGGCGAAACUUUUUGUCACCUUUGCAGUAAGAACUACUCCAACAAACAGAACUUCCAAAUGCACCAACUCCUCGUCCACGGCAUCAAAAGAAAACUCUGAACUAUCAUUAAGAUGUUCGGAGACUCAAGGACCAUCUUUUUAAGGUGAAUACAAGGUCGGUGCUCGCGAGAAAUUCCAGUGCAGUAUUUGUGGAUCUUCUUACACCAAAAACUACGACCUUCGGAAACACAUGAAAUCUCACACAGGCGAGACGUUCUGUCACAUUUGCCAGAGGAGCUACUCAAACGUACAGAACUACCGUAUGCACAUGCUAUUUGUCCAUAAGAUCGGAACAGGGCGACAAACGUAACGCUGAUCAAUAAAGCUAUUCCUUGGAAGUUCUCUCAAGUAUUCCAUAUUUUCAAAACGAAGCGUUACGUGUCUUUGAAUAAGCCGCCAAAUGUAAUUUCUGUUCUUUUUACACCAUAAUCCCCUGGAAAUUAUCCAAUCCUUGAAGUACAUGACUAAUUACAGACAACACACAACUUUAAUUUUUCUUUUCUUCUCUUUUUGAAAGCAUUUUCCCUCUCUUUGUUCUUUUUAUUUUUAAAGUAUUGUUUGUUUAAAUUAUAUUGUUUUUUCUUCAUAAAGUCAGUAUAUGUUUUGGCUUCAGUACAUGAAUUUUUGAAGCACAUGACUAAUUAUUACCAAUGAUCUACAUAUACAAGUUUAUUGUUUAUUUUCACUUUAUGUUUCAGAAGCUCAUUGUUGUUUGUUUAAAUUCGAUUGUUUUUUCCUUUUAUAUUCAGUAUAUUUUUUGGCUUCAGUUCAGUCAUUUAUCUUCAAGCGACACACCGUAGUACAAUUAAACGGUUUAAUAAUGAUUGAAUAUCAUCUUUGUGUAAUAUUUCAUGCAUCGUAAUUUUAUAUUGCAUAAGAAAACCUCUUCCACAACUUCCAGAGGCCAAUUUGAUUCAAUACAAUGUAAUUCUAUAAAAAA